AAGCCGAUGGCGGAGGCCUAACACAUGCAGUCGAGCGCGCCCUUCGGGGUGAGCGGCGGACGGGUUAGUAACGCGUGGGAACGUGCCCUUUGGUACGGAAUAGCCUCUGGAAACGGAGAGUAAUACCGUAUGAGCCCUUCGGGGGAAAGAUUUAUCGCCAAAGGAUCGGCCCGCGUUAGAUUAGGUAGUUGGUGGGGUAAUGGCCUACCAAGCCUACGAUCUAUAGCUGGUUUUAGAGGAUGAUCAGCAACACUGGGACUGAGACACGGCCCAGACUCCUACGGGAGGCAGCAGUGGGGAAUCUUGGACAAUGGGGGCAACCCUGAUCCAGCCAUGCCGCGUGAGUGAUGAAGGCCUUAGGGUCGUAAAGCUCUUUCGCCUGUGAAGAUAAUGACGGUAGCAGGUAAAGAAACCCCGGCUAACUCCGUGCCAGCAGCCGCGGUAAUACGGAGGGGGUUAGCGUUGUUCGGAAUUACUGGGCGUAAAGCGCACGUAGGCGGACCAAAAAGUUGGGGGUGAAAUCCCGGGGCUCAACCCCGGAACUGCCUCCGAUACUGUUGGUCUAGAGUUCGAGAGAGGUGAGUGGAAGUCCGAGUGUAGAGGUGAAAUUCGUACAUAUACGCAGGAACGCCGCUGCCGAAGCGGUUCACUCGCUCUCUACUGACACUGAGGUGCGAGCGUGUGGAGAGCAUGCUCUAAUUAUAUAACCUGGUGAGUGCGCAAUGCCGACUAUGAGUGCUAAUCUUCGGGUAGCCUGCUAUUAUCGCGAUUACCUUAUGCGAUUAAGCUGUCACACUGUGACUAUCAUCUGCUCAUGAGUGCUCAGCUGACUGAGGA
rnacentral:rRNA from 1 species